GGAAACACUCUGUUUGUCAAGUCUGCAAGUGGAUAUUCGGACCUCUUUGAGGCCUUCGUUGGAAACGGGAUUUCUUCAUAUUACACUAGACAGAAGAAUUCUCAGUAACUUCCUUUUGUUGUGUGUAUUCAACUGACAGAGUUGAACCUUCCCUUAGACAGAGCAGAUUUGAAACACUCUUUUUGUGGGGUUUGCAAGUGGAGAUUUAAAGCGCUUUGAGGCCAAAGGCAGAAAAGGAAAUAUCUUCGUAUAAAAACUAGACAGAAUCAUUCUCAGAAACUGCUGUGUGAUGUGUGCUUUCAACUCAGAGAGUUUAACUUUUCUUUUCAUUCAGCAGUUUGGAAACACUCUGUUUGUAAA
rnacentral:lncRNA from 1 species